AGUUUCAUUGGAGUUGCUUUUUUUUUUUGGGCAUUGAAUUUAUUUAUUUAUUAUUUGCAGUAUGCCAGUUAAUCAAAUAUGUCCUCAGUUGUUGGGUAGCCCAGUUAAUCAAAACAAUCUACAUGUGAAACAAUUUUGAUAAUUGAGGAGUUUAAAGGUAUGAUUUUAACGUUGAAGAGAGUAAGGGUGAUAUUCGAUAAUAACUGAUAGGGUGAAGUGUAAUUAACCCUUCGGUUAAGGCCAGUAACAUCUCAAAAAUUAAUAAAACACUGCUGAGUUUUUGGAGAGACAAAAACAGGAGAGAGAGAGAGAGAGAGAGAGAGGGAGAGAGAGAGAGAGAGAGAGAGAGAGAGAGAGUUCACACCUGGAGUUGGAAGUGACAAAUCCUGACCGUUUAAUACUGCCUUUGCACCAUUUGAGUAUGUCCAGAACGGUACACGCAAAUGCAAGGUGGAUGUCAGACCUGCCCCUCCCUGCAUAAAAGCAGAACUUUGCUAGGGACUAAAGUAAAAUUCAGAUGAAAGUU